rnacentral:lncRNA from 10 species
UCAUUAACUAUUCCCGAUAAAUUGACAAAAUCAAGCUCACAGUGGUAGACAGCUGAUUCUCAGUGGAAAAGGACAAAGGAUCCGUCAGACAUGUCUGGUGAUACUGUAAAUCAGCAUAACCUUUGAUGGGACACAGUCACGCAAAAUGUGACAACCAUAAAAUUCUGACCAGCAAUUCCACUUUUGAAAACAGCCCCAAAGAGACAGGACAAAGUAAACAGGGAAAACACAGAUGGCCUUCUCCAGCCACAGAGGCAGUCCCUGGUGCCCAGAGCGGGGACAGUUGGUGACUCGAUCCAGGAGAGGAAGUCACCUGCGCCCUGAACUCUGAGGCUCACAUCCUGUGAACCUGCUCAGGAGAGCUAAGGUGUGGCCCACCAGUGCCUUUUGGGGACUCAUAGAAACAGCUCCUCUCACCUAGAAAGAAACAGAGCCACCAUCUUCCCACCCCUCAAAGGGGGAAAUCACUUUCACUUGGUCCUCAUUCUCUCUUGACUGCCACCAUGUAAGAUGUGCAUUUCACCUUCCACCAUGACUGUGAGGCUUCCCCAGCCACGUGGAACUGUGAGUCCAUUAAACCUCUUUUUCUUUAUAAAUUACCCAGUCCCGGGUAUGUCUUUAUCAGCAGCGUGAAAACAGACUAAUACAUACCGUAACCUAUAACAUGCAGAAACUGGUGACUAUGAACGGGGAGAUGAUUUGUGGCUGCCCAUGAGGAACGACCAAAAUGACCAGCAUUUCCAAAUUCGGCUCUCAACUUGCCUGCUCUUCCCUCCCAUCUCCUCACCUAUAUGCUUUCCAGGAAGGUUGGUGAACAGAGAGCAGGAUGGCAGGGCACUAGGCACUGCCCUUUCAUUUGGCUUCCUCCAGCUUUUGGCAGAUGUCAUUUCUCUCUGAUGUAAGGUAAACGUGAGGGAGAGGUACCUAAGGCUUGAAGGAAAUACUCACUGAAUGACAAUGUCUUGAAAUUUAUGCUGGUCCCGUUGGUUCCCCCAGCACUGGUGCUGGCCAUGACCUGAACAAUGUAAGAGGUCUUUCGUUUCAG